rnacentral:rRNA from 2 species
UACAACUUUCAGCAACGGAUCUCUUGGCUCUCGCAUCGAUGAAGAACGCAGCGAAAUGCGAUAAGUAAUGUGAAUUGCAGAAUUCAGUGAAUCAUCGAAUCUUUGAACGCACCUUGCGCCCUUUGGUAUUCCGAAGGGCAUGCCUGUUUGAGUGUCAUGGUAU